rnacentral:rRNA from 1 species
AGUCGAACGACUCUGGUAUUGAUUGGUGCUUGCAUCAUGAUUUACAUUUGAGUGAGUGGCGAACUGGUGAGUAACACGUGGGAAACCUGCCCAGAAGCGGGGGAUAACACCUGGAAACAGAUGCUAAUACCGCAUAACAACUUGGACCGCAUGGUCCGAGUUUGAAAGAUGGCUUCGGCUAUCACUUUUGGAUGGUCCCGCGGCGUAUUAGCUAGAUGGUGGGGUAACGGCUCACCAUGGCAAUGAUACGUAGCCGACCUGAGAGGGUAAUCGGCCACAUUGGGACUGAGACACGGCCCAAACUCCUACGGGAGGCAGCAGUAGGGAAUCUUCCACAAUGGACGAAAGUCUGAUGGAGCAACGCCGCGUGAGUGAAGAAGGGUUUCGGCUCGUAAAACUCUGUUGUUAAAGAAGAACAUAUCUGAGAGUAACUGUUCAGGUAUUGACGGUAUUUAACCAGAAAGCCACGGCUAACUACGUGCCAGCAGCCGCGGUAAUACGUAGGUGGCAAGCGUUGUCCGGAUUUAUUGGGCGUAAAGCGAGCGCAGGCGGUUUUUUAAGUCUGAUGUGAAAGCCUUCGGCUCAACCGAAGAAGUGCAUCGGAAACUGGGAAACUUGAGUGCAGAAGAGGACAGUGGAACUCCAUGUGUAGCGGUGAAAUGCGUAGAUAUAUGGAAGAACACCAGUGGCGAAGGCGGCUGUCUGGUCUGUAA